ensembl:lncRNA
CUUGUUCUGGUAAACUACGUGAUAGAUUCCUCACUAUUUGGCCGAGGUUAUUUUUACCCGUAAGUCCUGGCAACGCUGCCUGUGUGGGGCGGAGCUGUUACUUGGCAGCAUUUUCCCUUGAAACAAGGCUGUGAUUUGCUUCUGUUUGGUUUUCUCAGACACAUUAAGGAGUGAGAGGCAUUAUUUUAGACAAAUGAUCCAAAGUCAUCACAGUGAUACAAUAACUGAGAGAUUUGCUGAGCGAAACACAUGAACAUAUGGAUUGAUUAAAAUAUAGGAAAGGAAACAGACCUGGAAGCGGUGAAAGGGCUCUUUUUUGAUCCUUUAAUAAUGUGCAGUCUUUAUAUAACCUCAGGGUCGUGGGGAACCUGGACGGGGUGCCAAUCCAUCGCAGGGCACAAUCACAUACACAUUCACACACCCAUUCAUACAUUAUGCAUGCCUUUGGACUGGAGGAGGAAACCGGAGUACCUGGAGGAAACCUCCGCAGCACGGGGAGAACACGCAAACUCCACACACACAGGGCAGCGGCGGGAAUCAAACCCUCAACUCUGGAGGGUAUAUAAACAUUGUGGACAUUGUGAAUGCAGUGUCUGAGGGAGCUAAGCUGCUGUCUCGCUGUUUGGCUCAUAAAUAAAGAAGUUCAACAAGCUCUGUUGUACGCUGAAGUUUGUAUCCACGCUCUCUCCUGGAGAGAAAAUCACGCUUCUGCUCCCCACUUCAGCAAACUUUAAGGGCUACACAUUUACUCCUGUUGGAACAUCAUGACAACUGACUUUACAAAACUGCACUUCUGCAAAUCUGCAUUUAUGCUUUAUGGUGUUUUUUUAAGAAUAGUUACAGCCGACUUAAGUCUAAAAGUACUGUAGAUUCACACAGGGAAAGUUAUGCGUAUUCAGAGUUGAGUUAAACAGCUGCUUUUCCUGUUGCACCAAUUCAAUUCAAUUCAGUGUUAUUUGUAUAGCGCUUUUAAUGACGGACAUUGUCUCAAAGCAGCUUUACAGAAACAUAUAAACACAGGAUAGAGAUUUUAAGUGGGUGAAUUUAUCCCUAUUGGGCGAGCCGGUGGUGACGGUGGUGAGGGAAAAACUCCCUGAGAUGAUAUGAGGAAGAAACCUUGAGAGGAACCAGACUCAGAAGGGAACCCGUCCUCAUCUGGGUAACCACUGAGGAUUUCCCUUUAACUCGCCUCAGCCUACCUUCUCCCUACUGCAUUCCAGCAUGUGUUUGUGUUCAGACAGGAAAAGGGUCACUGUUACAGAGAAAGUAGCCAACAAGUCUUUUAAGGACUUCGGUUUGCUUGGAACGCUCUCUGACCAAGUCAUUCUUGGCAUAGAGUUGGUUUACCAAACCAGGGAAAUGCCGUGCCGGGUGUGACAUCACAACAAAAAUAUCGCGACCGCUGUGUCUUGAGGAUGAAGUUUUUGAUGAAUCUCUAAUGUGAGCAUUCCAGCAGUUUGAAGCGAAGUGUCUAGUUCACAUAUCAAAAAAGAAAUAGAAUUCUGUCAUUUUUCACAUUUUUUAUUUGGCACUGUAUUAAAUUACUCUUGAAUA